rnacentral:rRNA from 1 species
GACGAACGCUGGCGGCGUGCCUAAUACAUGCAAGUCGAACGCAGUGGGGACGGGUGAGUAACACGUGGGUAACCGCCCAUAAGAGGGGAGAACACUUGGAAACAGGUGCUAAACCGAUACUGAUUGAUGUACCCGCGUUGCAUUAACGAGUUGGUGAGGUAACGGCUCACCAAGGCCACGAUGCAUAGCCGACCUGAGAGGGGGAUCGGCCACACUGGGACUGAGACACGGCCCAGACUCCUACGGGAGGCAGCAGUAGGGAAUCUUCGGCAAUGGACGAAAGUCUGACCGAGCAACGCCGCGUGAGUGAAGAAGGUUUUCGGAUCGUAAAACUCUGUUGUUAGAGAAGCGGUAUCUAACCAGAAAGCCACGGCUAACUACGUGCCAGCAGCCGCGGUAAUUC